GCCUUGUUGGUCUAGCGGUGUGAUUCUUGCUUUGGGUGUGAGAGGUCCUGGGUUCAACUCCUGGACAAGUCC
rnacentral:tRNA from 1 species